AAGUUUUUUUUUCCCUUGGUGAAUGUUUCUUAUAAAUUUUCGAGGAUCUAGAUGAGGUAAUGGAUAGGUAUGCUGACCCUUUGGUAACUCAUCUUAUGACAAUGAUCAACUACCGUAAAUUUCGGACUGGGACAAAGUCGGAAAUAGAUGAUCUUCUUCGGGUUGAGAAGGGUGAAACCCCAAAAUGGUAGUUUACGGUUUUUGUGUAUCGCAUGAACAUCCAGGGAGCUUUUUAUUGUCUUACAUACGGUCUGCAAAUCCGCACCAUGAGUACAUUGGUUUAUAUCCAAAGGGAUUCAAGUUCAGGAAAAGAAUGUUUGGGAAUCUUGAUAAGCUUGCUGCUGCUUAUUUUAAGAGACAUAUUGAUGAUCCAGUCCAUUACUAUCAAUGAACUUGAAGAUUGAUUUUAAGGUAUGGCUUUGUUGAUGUCCCGUUCGAAGCACAAAAACUACUACUUUCUGCUAUUUUAAACCGUUAUAUCAGUGAUUUUAUGUUGACAAUUCAUAUUACGCUAA